rnacentral:rRNA from 1 species
GAUGAACGCUAGCUACAGGCUUAACACAUGCAAGUCGAGGGGCCCCUCUCUUUUAAGCUUGCUUCCGAUCUUUGUUUUUCGUCGCACGGGUGAGUAACGCGUAUCCAACCUGCCCACCACUUGGGGAUAACCUUGCGAAAGUAAGACUUUGACCCAAUGAUAUCUCUAGAAGACAUCUGAAGGAGAUUAAAGAUUUAUCGGCGAUGGAUGGGGAUGCGUCUGAUUAGCUUGUUGGCGGGGUAACGGCCCACCAAGGCGACGAUCAGUAGGGGUUCUGAGAGGAAGGUCCCCCACAUUGUAACUGAGACACGGUCCAAACUCCUACGGGAGGCAGCAGUGAGGAAUAUUGGUCAAUGGACGAGAGUCUGAACCAGCCAAGUAGCGUGCAGGAUGACGGCCCUAUGGGUUGUAAACUGCUUUUAUAAGGGAAUAAAGUGAGCCUCGUGAGGCUUUUUGCAUGUACCUUAUGAAUAAGGACCGGCUAAUUCCGUGCCAGCCGCCGCGGUAA